UGUGUGCUGUGGCCAAAGACAGCAGGAACUGCCCCAUCACUGUCUGCCUGGAUACCACUGACCAGAGGCGUGGGAGCCCUAGAGCUUUAACUUUGUGGUACUGAAGAUAUGGACAUCAGGGGACCCCAGGGGAGGCAGAACCAUGGGCCUGGAAGAGGGGGCCCCGCACCAGACCUACUGGCAGAAGAGCAGCAGCCCUGAGAACAAUACAUCCACAAGGUUGCCAUGAGGUGAGCUGCUUUGCUCCUCUAUGCCCUUCUGCUAUGUUCUGCCUCACCUCAGGCCCACAGCAA